UACGGAGGGUGCAAGCGUUAUCCGGAUUUAUUGGGUUUAAAGGGUCCGUAGGCGGACUCGUAAGUCAGUGGUGAAAUCUCAUAGCUCAACUAUGAAACUGCCAUUGAUACUGCGGGUCUUGAGUAAGGUAGAAGUGGCUGGAAUAAGUAGUGUAGCGGUGAAAUGCAUAGAUAUUACUUAGAACACCAAUUGCGAAGGCAGGUCACUAUGUCUUAACUGACGCUGAUGGACGAAAGCGUGGGGAGCGAACAGG
rnacentral:rRNA from 1 species